AUGCCUCUUAUGGGCUCUUAGAGACGGAGCCGCAGAGGUCGGAGGCAUCCUGGGAAAUGCUCUGUGGAGGCACCAGUGAGCUGGAUCCAUGUGAUAGUGGAUUUGUUUGGUUUUGUCUGGCAGGAAGACUUUAGUGGUGGCUGUGCAGUGCUGUCCUCAUGUAAGCUCUGCAUUUCUCCUCACUCAAAAGAGUGACAGGUUGAACAACUGAAAACAAGGUCCUCUGUGCAGGAAUAUUUUGCUGAUUUGCAAAAGGCUGAAAAAUAUGUAAUCAGAAUAAGGAACUAUCCAUAGUACCUGCAUGCACAUGGGUGCACACAGGCCAAGGCCAAAAAUCCCAAGUCAUCACUUCACUCCCAUAGGUGAAGAAAGGAGGAUUUGGCCUUCUAUUACUAUCAACCUGCACCUCAGGAAGUCUUCCAUCAUCCCCUUAUCACCAUUGGUGAAUCAGAGCUCAAAUCAGUCCAGCAGUGUAAUUACCUAGGUAGCCUCAUCUCCUCGGAUGGUGAGAUUGAUGGGGAGAUAGACAACAGGUUAGCAAAGGCAUAGAGAGCUUUUGGAAAACUCCAUAAAAGAGUU
rnacentral:lncRNA from 1 species